UGGGGCGUAGCCAAGCGGUAAGGCAACGGGUUUUGGUCCCGCUAUUCGGAGGUUCGAAUCCUUCCGUCCCAGC
rnacentral:tRNA from 3 species